GACGAACGCUGGCGGCGUGCCUAAUACAUGCAAGUAGAACGCUGAAGAGAGGAGCUUGCUCUUCUUGGAUGAGUUGCGAACGGGUGAGUAACGCGUAGGUAACCUGCCUUGUAGCGGGGGAUAACUAUUGGAAACGAUAGCUAACACCGCAUAACAAUGGAUGACACAUGUCAUUUAUUUGAAAGGGGCAAUUGCUCCACUACAAGAUGGACCUGCGUUGUAUUAGCUAGUAGGUGAGGUAAUGGCUCACCUAGGCGACGAUACAUAGCCGACCUGAGAGGGUGAUCGGCCACACUGGGACUGAGACACGGCCCAGACUCCUACGGGAGGCAGCAGUAGGGAAUCUUCGGCAAUGGGGGCAACCCUGACCGAGCAACGCCGCGUGAGUGAAGAAGGUUUUCGGAUCGUAAAGCUCUGUUGUAAGUCAAGAACGGGUGUGAGAGUGGAAAGUUCACACUGUGACGGUAGCUUACCAGAAAGGGACGGCUAACUACGUGCCAGCAGCCGCGGUAAUACGUAGGUCCCGAGCGUUGUCCGGAUUUAUUGGGCGUAAAGCGAGCGCAGGCGGUUUGAUAAGUCUGAAGUUAAAGGCUGUGGCUCAACCAUAGUUCGCUUUGGAAACUGUCAAACUUGAGUGCAGAAGGGGAGAGUGGAAUUCCAUGUGUAGCGGUGAAAUGCGUAGAUAUAUGGAGGAACACCGGUGGCGAAAGCGGCUCUCUGGUCUGUAACUGACGCUGAGGCUCGAAAGCGUGGGGGAGCGAACAGGAUUAGAUACCCUGGUAGUCCACGCCGUAAACGAUGAGUGCUAGGUGUUGGAUCCUUUCCGGGAUUCAGUGCCGCAGCUAACGCAUUAAGCACUCCGCCUGGGGAGUACGACCGCAAGGUUGAAACUCAAAGGAAUUGACGGGGGCCCGCACAAGCGGUGGAGCAUGUGGUUUAAUUCGAAGCAACGCGAAGAACCUUACCAGGUCUUGACAUCCCGAUGCUAUUUCUAGAGAUAGAAAGUUACUUCGGUACAUCGGUGACAGGUGGUGCAUGGUUGUCGUCAGCUCGUGUCGUGAGAUGUUGGGUUAAGUCCCGCAACGAGCGCAACCCCUAUUGUUAGUUGCCAUCAUUCAGUUGGGCACUCUAGCGAGACUGCCGGUAAUAAACCGGAGGAAGGUGGGGAUGACGUCAAAUCAUCAUGCCCCUUAUGACCUGGGCUACACACGUGCUACAAUGGUUGGUACAACGAGUUGCGAGUCGGUGACGGCGAGCUAAUCUCUUAAAGCCAAUCUCAGUUCGGAUUGUAGGCUGCAACUCGCCUACAUGAAGUCGGAAUCGCUAGUAAUCGCGGAUCAGCACGCCGCGGUGAAUAAAUUCCCGGGCCU
rnacentral:rRNA from 1 species